GAGGAAUUAUUCCCACGGCAAGCCUAUAUAAUUUCAUAUGAUAGAAAAAUAAAAUGGUAUAUAAUUAAUGAUAGAAGACCUAGCUACCCACACCUUUUAAAACAGUAAUGUAAUAGCAAGGAAACAAUACAAUCAUUUGUAUUAUGAUCCUUUCUAAAUUCUCUAACUAUGUCAGACUCUUCUCUCUUUCCAUUGAGGUAUGAAAUUUACAUUGAUCAAUCACUCACAUAAACAAAAACAUGUACGCAUGCACACUACCCAAGUUUUACACCUUUUUGAACCACCAAUGCCUGUAGUAAUGAAAUAAUUCAAUAAUUUGAUUUCUGGUCCUUUCUACAUUUUCUAACUAUUUCAGACUCUCUUCUCUCUUUCUAUUGAGGCGUGUGCUUUUACAUUGGACGCUAUCUCUGAAACACACAUGCACGUUCAUAUAUUUUAUGCCUUUUCAGACCAAUCUCCACAUGAUGUAAUUUUAUGCAAACUAAUUACCAAUAAAACAAAAAGUAACUGAGACAGCAUUUUUUUCUUUUCUAAUAACUAAAAUAAAUUGAGUAAAUAGAUGAGCCAAAAUCCUUCCAUUUAAUCAGAUGUGGAAUGAGAUACACUAAAAAGUGGAAAGUAACUCAAAUUAUUGCAUUGAAGAUAUACAAAAAUGACAAAGAUGUACAGAUGGAUUACACAUUUCUUUCAUUUUAGGACUAUGGUUAUGAAGAAUCACAUUCACCUAAGAAUUUAACCUACAUGCAUGGCUAUAUCCUGAAAAGAUUAAUCUCAUAUAAUUUAGGCAUCUAACAUGAAAAUAUGUUAGCAUGUGCAUCAUGUGCAUGAGGUAUGCAUGCCCAUAAACCUAAAUUUUACCAAAAAAUUCAUUUUUCUUGUAGACCCAAAGGGUUUUUUAUAAACUGAAAAAAAUGAUAAGAACAAAAACCAUUCAAUUCAGUACAUAGGAGGUGCACAGGAAGGGCAAAAAAGAGGUACAAAAAGGUUGCACAUUUAAUUCUAUAGAACACCUAACUUGCACAACUAUACCCCUAAUAAUAGUCAUUUGAAAGUGUGUAUGCAUAAGAAAUUGUUUUAUUUUUUUUCUUUUCCCUAGAAAUGAAGGACGGUUCAUAAAUGUAUGUUUUUGUUGGCUAAAUAUUGAUUUUCCAUCCAAAUUGAAUGUUUUCUAAUGUGAUCAAGAACAAAAUUGAACUCUCAAUGCAGCAUGAGAAGAUGAAGAUCCUUAUACAAUUAAGGAAUUAUUUUCAUUGUAAAAUU
rnacentral:misc_RNA from 1 species